GAUGAAGAACGCAGCGAAAUGCGAUACGUAAUGUGAAUUGCAGAAUUCAGUGAAUCAUCGAAUCUUUGAACGCAUAUUGCGCUCUCUGGUAUUCCGGAGAGCAUGCUUGUUUGAGUAUCAGUAAACACCUCAACUCCCUUUUCUUUUUUGAAAUUGGAGCUGGACUUGAGUGAUCCCAACGCUUUCUUCCAAGAAAGUGGCGGGUUGCUUGAAAUGCAGGUGCAGCUGUACUUUUCUCUGAGCUAUAAGCAUAUCUAUUUAGUCUGCCUAAAAAACAGAUUAUUACCUUUGCUGCAGCUAACAUAAAGGAGACUAGUUCUUGUGCUGACUGAUGCAGGAUUCACAGAGACAGCUUCGGCUGACUUUGUAAACUCGAUCUCAAAUCAAGUAAGACUACCCGCUGAACUUAAGCAUAUCAAUAAGCGGAGGA
rnacentral:misc_RNA from 1 species